rnacentral:rRNA from 1 species
GCCCUACGGGGCGCAGCAGUGGGGGAUAUUGCACAAUGGGGGAAACCCUGAUGCAGCGACGCCGCGUGGGCGAAGAAGUAUUUCGGUAUGUAAAGCCCUAUCAGCGGGGAAGAAGAAAUGACGGUACCUGAGUAAGAAGCACCGGCUAAAUACGUGCCAGCAGCCGCGGUAAUACGUAUGGUGCAAGCGUUAUCCGGAUUUACUGGGUGUAAAGGGUGCGUAGGCGGGCUGCCAAGUCAGCGGUAAAAUUGCGGGGCUCAACCCCGUCGAGCCGUUGAAACUGGCGGUCUUGAGUGGGCGAGAAG